GAGGGGAGCUACGCACUCUCCCGACAGCGGUGGAGGACACGGAUCAGCCAGCGGGUACAGGCAGCGCUUGAGCCGCGCACUCCUGCUUCGGAUGUUGCCUGGCUUGGCUUCGCCGCCGUGGGUCCGCGCCUUCUCAAGGUUAUCUGCUGACUCAACGAUACCAAGAUGCUAAGGAUUCCUAAAGUUUCUAAAGGAGAGUUAGUUUUUACUCUCUUACCCCCAAGAUCACUUCAGUUUGAUGAUGUCGGAGAUCUGCAGAACAGCCGUCCAAAUCGGUGGUGCAACCGGCGGCAUUGUUCUGCAGGACUUGCGGAAGAAAGUAGAGCAGAAUGAAUGUUCUGGAAGAUCAGCAGUUACUGGCACUGAGGAAUGGAGAACUGAAAAUGAGGUGUUCCCAUGGAUGAGUCAUCUCCCUUCACUUCAGCCUGGCUGCUAGUACAAGAGACAUACCAAAUAAUUUAUUAUCCUGGGCAGCACAAAGUAGUGCCUAUGCCCAUGCAAAGCAGAGAAACAUGGAAAUAUGAACCUAGGGAAGAUUUCAGAAUAAAUGAAAAAAAUUG